rnacentral:misc_RNA from 1 species
GUAUUUGAUUGCGUUUUAAGGCAACAUGAACAUUCUAUGACACAUUCAGAGUAUAUGAUACAUAAGCCUGAAGGCCUACGGUGGGUUCACAGGGUGUGUUGUGGAUUUAAGAGCUUGGGCGUGCACAUGCCUCUUUUGAGGCCAGCAACAACCCUCGCUUAUAAUUCGAUAAUGAUCCUUCCGCAGGUUCACCUACGGAAA